rnacentral:rRNA from 1 species
GACGAACCGUCCUAACGUUGUUCGGAAUCACUGGGCUUAAAGGGCGCGUAGGCGGUGCGGUACGAUUUCGGUGAAAUCCCUCGGCCCAACCGAGGAACAGCCGGGGCUACGGCCACACUAGACGGCAUCAGGGGACAGUGGAACUUCCGGUGGAGCGGUGAAAUGCGUAGAUAUCGGAAGGAACGCCGGUGGCGAAAGCGACUGUCUGGGGUGCCUGUGACGCUGAGGCGCGAAAGCCAGGGGAUCAAACGGG